UGAGUAACGCGUGAGGAACCUGCCUUCCAGAGGGGGACAACAGUUGGAAACGACUGCUAAUACCGCAUGAUGUGUUUCGAUGGCAUCAUCGAGACACCAAAGAUUUAUCGCUGGAAGAUGGCCUCGCGUCUGAUUAGCUAGUAGGCGGGGUAACGGCCCACCUAGGCGACGAUGCGUAGGGGUUCUGAGAGGAAGGUCCCCCACACUGGUACUGAGACACGGACCAGACUCCUACGGGAGGCAGCAG
rnacentral:rRNA from 1 species